rnacentral:rRNA from 1 species
UACGAAGGGGGCGAGCGUUGUUCGGAAUUACUGGGCGUAAAGGGCGUGUAGGCGGCCCCUUUUGUCGCGUGUGAAAGCCCCGGGCUCAACCUGGGAAUUGCGCGCGAAACGGGGGGGCUUGAGUUCGGGAGAGGAGCGUGGAAUUCCCAGUGUAGAGGUGAAAUUCGUAGAUAUUGGGAAGAACACCGGUGGCGAAGGCGGCGCUCUGGACCGAGACUGACGCUGAGGCGCGAAAGCGUGGGGAGCAAACAGG